rnacentral:rRNA from 5 species
UAAACGACUCUCGGCAACGGAUAUCUCGGCUCUCGCAUCGAUGAAGAACGUAGCGAAAUGCGAUACUUGGUGUGAAUUGCAGAAUCCCGUGAACCAUCGAGUCUUUGAACGCAAGUUGCGCCCGAAGCCGUCAGGCCGAGGGCACGUCUGCCUGGGCGUCACGC